rnacentral:lncRNA from 1 species
CUUCCACCAAUCAUUUGGUUAUGGAACAUUCUAAAACUUAGGCAAGACGAUUGUGAUUGGCUAGAGGGCGUAAGCCCGCCUCCAGGGUGACGUGUCUGCCUAUGGAUAUCAGUUGCCAGAGAAACCUGGCUUUACUAUGGCGGUUGGAGGGUCGGCAGUGAUCACACGUCGGCUGCUGGAAAGAACUGGAUUCUCGUUUCAGGCUACCAUCAAAAAAGCUAAGUUUGCUGUAUAGUAAGGAUCAGAAGAUCUGAUCCUGAUUGCAGAACAUUGCUGAUUACAGAAUCUUGGGUUGUGUCUCCCACCUCAUCUUUCCCUACCAUCCCAGAAGAUCUAUAAGGUUCCAUCUGGGAAAACACUAGAAGUUCUUGGAAGGGAAAGAAGGAAGAGGAUUACGUUUUUUUCCAGAAUUCUAUGCUUGGUUCAUCACUGGCUUUAUCUCUCACCAAUUUAUCACCUCCUCCAACAAGCUACUGCUGAAAGUGGUGUUAGUGGUUGGAAUAAAA